GAAGGUAGAUGAUGAAUAAGUUCUUAUCCUACACACUGAAUUAACUGUGGACCUUAAAUCUCCGCUUAUUAUCUGAUGCCUUC